rnacentral:rRNA from 1 species
GACGAACGCUGGCGGCGUGCUUAACACAUGCAAGUCGAACGGAAAGGCCCUGCUUUUGUGGGGUGCUCGAGUGGCGAACGGGUGAGUAACACGUGAGUAACCUGCCCCUGACUUUGGGAUAACUUCAGGAAACUGGGGCUAAUACCGGAUAGGAGCUCCUGCUGCACGGGGGGGGUUGGAAAGAUUCGGCGGUUGGGGAUGGACUCGCGGCUCAUCAGCUUGUUGGUGGGGUAGUGGCUUAACAAGGCUUUGGCGGGUAGCCGGCCUGAGAGGGUGACCGGCCACAUUGGGACUGGGAUACGGCCCAGACUCCUUCGGGGGGCAGCAGUGGGGGAUAUUGCACAAUGGGCGGAAGCCUGAUGCAGCAACGCCGCGUGCGGGAUGACGGCCUUCGGGUUGUAACCCGCUUUCGCCUGUGACGAAGCGUGAGUGACGGUAAUGGGUAAAGAAGCACCGGCUAACUACGUG